GUGCCAGCCGCCGCGGUAAUACGUAGGGACCGAGCGUUGUCCGGAAUCAUUGGGCGUAAAGAGCGUGUAGGCGGCCUGCUAAGUCCUGCGUGAAAUCUCGGGGCUCAACCCCGAGCGGUCGUGGGAAACUGGCAGGCUAGAGUGCGGGAGAGGAGAGUGGAACUCCAGGUGUAGCGGUGAAAUGCGCAGAUAUCUGGAGGAACACCCGUGGCGAAGGCGGCUCUCUGGAACGCAACUGACGCUGAGACGCGAAAGCGUGGGGAGCAAACAGGAUUAGAAACCCCAGUAGUCC
rnacentral:rRNA from 1 species